CACGUAGGCACCAAGCGUUAUCCGGAUUUAUUGGGCGUAAAGAGCUCGUAGGCGGUCUGUCGCGUCGGAUGUGAAAACCCAGGGCUCAACCCUGGGCCUGCAUUCGAUACGGGCAGACUAGAAUUCGGUAGGGGAGACUGGAAUUCCCGGUGUAGCGGUGGAAUGCGUAGAGAUCGGGAAGAACAUCAGUGGCGAAGGCGGUCUGCUGGGCCGUUGCUGACGCUGAGGCGCGACAGCGUGGGGAGCAAACAGG
rnacentral:rRNA from 1 species